GUGGGAUAUAGCCGAGGGUUCAAGAUGCACCAAAACAAAACAAAUUUGGACAUCCUACGAUUCGGCAAUUAAAUAUGCGAAGGAUUAUUAAAUUAAUGGUUAGAGUGGCCUCAAUAAUAAGAGUAAUUUGCCUCCCUGCUGGGAUCUUCGCAUUUACAAUAACAACAAAAUCUUCACUUUCUAAUAAUAAUAUGCGAAAUCGAAAUCAAAAAUUGAACCAAGAAAAAUGAAAAACUUGGUCAGUAAUAAGAUCUAGAUCUCAAUUCAAUAUCCGAAGGCAAACUUGAAUAAACAACGCAUUGAUUUAUGGCGUCUCCUCCAUAGGAA
rnacentral:lncRNA from 1 species